rnacentral:misc_RNA from 1 species
AAGUUUAGUUGGGGCUUUAGAUUAUCUACAAGGAAAGAUGGCAAUAGUGGAAGAAAAUUUGAAUGAGAUAGACUUUGUUGGUGUGUGGAGAAGUUUGGCUGCUGGAGUGGAUCGCAUGCUUUUCAAUGGGAUUCUUAUGAGCAAUGUGAAGUUUCAUGAUUGUGGCAUUGAAAGGUUUAGUCAUGACUUGGACGUUUUGUUUGGGGUAUUUGGAGCUUGGUGCUUGAGGCCUGAAGGAUUUUUCCCCAAAUUAAGUGAUGGCUUGAAGUUGUUAAAAAUGGGGGAGGAGAAGCUUCAAUGUAGUUUGAUAGGAGGAGAGAAAUGGAUGAAGACGAAUGGAAUCAGACAUUUGGGUGUAGCCGAGUCUGAGAAGAUACUAAACAGUAGGGUAUCCAUGGGUUAAGGGCUUUCCCAACUAGACAUCUUUUUCUUAGCAUUGAUCACCCUAAGGAUUAGCGAAAAAGAGAGGUUCAUUCAUCUUACUGAUGCAAUUGUACAAAUUUUUUGUUGUACGUGACUCGGGCUCAUGGACUGACCUAUUUGUUUUUCUUUUUUUUUUUUUUAUUAAAAAAGAUGCAACAAAACAAUAAAAU